rnacentral:lncRNA from 1 species
CUUGAUAUAAGGUUUAUUUACCUGUGGAGAAGUGAAUUUUAUUUUUCCAUUGUUUUGGUGAAUACCCAGAAGGUUUAUACUGAACCUCUUUGCUACAUUCUUGUCCUAUGGAUCAGAAUGGCUGUAACUCAGCUGCUGUGGACAAAAGACUUUAGCUGCUAUUCCCUAUGGGGUCUGUAACUAAACCCACAGCCAGCAGUGUUUUAACCCUUAAACAAUCUGACCUAAGUGCCAAACACAGACUGCCUUAAGAUCUGGUAGUAACACUGGCAUCUGCUGUUAAAACUCACUUUUAAAGUCCCACAUGCUGCAAGGAAAGG